UGAACAGCAAAGAUCACAACUGGAAACGUCUUAACACUCCACAGGUUUUAUCCACCAGGUUACAGGAUCCCUAAUCACAAAGAACGCUGUAGCUCUAAAGGGAGGAGAAAACACUUCAUCACAACUACAGCGCCAAUGACAAUCACUAACUAAAACUCAAGGAUGAAGAUGAUGUCCAGCAUCCUGCUGCUCCUCAUCCUCAGCUCAUGUCUCUGUGCAGCAACAUUUGUAGUGAAUGUGACACAGAGCAGCUAUCAGGCAGAGGAGAAGCAGAACAUCACUCUGGAGUGGAC